UCGGGUUGUAAAGCACUUUUUAAUGAGCGAAAUACUGCCGGCUAAUACCCGGCGGGGCUGACGGUACCUGAGGAAUAAGCACCGGCUAACUUCGUGCCAGCAGCCGCGGUAAUACGAAGGGUGCAAGCGUUAAUCGGAAUUACUGGGCGUAAAGCGUGCGUAGGCGGUUCUUUAAGUCUGCUGUGAAAUCCCCGGGCUCAACCUGGGAAUGGCAGUGGAUACUGGAGAGCUAGAGUGUGAUAGAGGAUGGUGGAAUUCCCGGUGUAGCGGUGAAAUGCGUAGAGAUCGGGAGGAACAUCAGUGGCGAAGGCGGCCAUCUGGAUCAACACUGACGCUGAGGCACGAAAGCGUGGGGAGCAAACAGGAUUAGAUACCCUGGUAGUCCACGCCCUAAACGAUGCGAACUGGAUGUUGGUCUCAACUCGGAGAUCAGUGUCGAAGCUAACGCGUUAAGUUCGCCGCCUGGGGAGUACGGUCGCAAGACUGAAACUCAAAGGAAUUGACGGGGGCCCGCACAAGCGGUGGAGUAUGUGGUUUAAUUCGAUGCAACGCGAAGAACCUUACCUGGCCUUGACAUGUCUGGAAUCCUGCAGAGAUGCGGGAGUGCCUUCGGGAAUCAGAACACAGGUGCUGCAUGGCUGUCGUCAGCUCGUGUCGUGAGAUGUUGGGUUAAGUCCCGCAACGAGCGCAACCCUUGUCCUUAGUUGCCAGCACGUAAUGGUGGGAACUCUAAGGAGACUGCCGGUGACAAACCGGAGGAAGGUGGGGGAUGACGUCAAGUCAUCAUGGCCCUUACGGCCAGGGCUACAC
rnacentral:rRNA from 1 species